UACGGGGGGAGCAAGCGUUGUUCGGAUUUACUGGGCGUAAAGGGCGCGUAGGCGGCGCGGGCAGUCAACGGUGAAAGCUUGGGGCUCAACCCCGAGUCGGCCGUCGAUACUCCCGGGCUGGAGCACUGUAGAGGCAGGUGGAAUUCCGGGUGUAGCGGUGGAAUGCGUAGAGAUCCGGAAGAACACCGGUGGCGAAGGCGGCCUGCUGGGCAGUAGCUGACGCUGAGGCGCGACAGCGUGGGGAGCAAACAGG
rnacentral:rRNA from 1 species